rnacentral:tmRNA from 1 species
GGGGGCGACAGGUUUCGACGGAACGGUUGAGGCCGCGGUCGCGUGCGGGGGAGCCGCGUGUACCCCUCAAUUCUCACGGAAAACUCAAACGCCAACAACGACGUUCGUCUCGCGGCCUAGUUAGGCCCCGACGCUGAACCUCCGACGCCUGCUGAGAGGGGACGCGUCAUCUUGCAGGCUGGACCAAGUCCGGGUGGCCGGGACCGAGUCGACACCUACGUGGCCGCUGGCGCAUGAAGUGGCCCGCCUCCGGGCAGCUUCCUGGGCGAGACCCAAACGGAGGAUACGCACGUAGACGCCUCGGUGGCUCCGCUUCGGACGUGGGUUCGAUUCCCACCGCCUCCACCA